rnacentral:rRNA from 1 species
CUCGUAGGCGGUUCGUCGCGUCCGGUGUGAAAGUCCAUCGCUUAACGGUGGAUCCGCGCCGGGUACGGGCGGGCUUGAGUGCGGUAGGGGAGACUGGAAUUCCCGGUGUAACGGUGGAAUGUGUAGAUAUCGGGAAGAACACCAAUGGCGAAGGCAGGUCUCUGGGCCGUCACUGACGCUGAGGCGCGAAAGCGUGGGGAGCAAACA